rnacentral:rRNA from 1 species
GAUGAACGCUGGCGGCGUGCCUAAUACAUGCAAGUCGAGCGAACAGACGAGGAGCUUGCUCCUCUGACGUUAGCGGCGGACGGGUGAGUAACACGUGGAUAACCUACCUAUAAGACUGGGAUAACUUCGGGAAACCGGAGCUAAUACCGGAUAAUAUAUUGAACCGCAUGGUUCAAUAGUGAAAGACGGUUUUGCUGUCACUUAUAGAUGGAUCCGCGCCGCAUUAGCUAGUUGGUAAGGUAACGGCUUACCAAGGCAACGAUGCGUAGCCGACCUGAGAGGGUGAUCGGCCAAACUGGAACUGAGACACGGUCCAGACUCCUACGGGAGGCAGCAGUAGGGAAUCUUCCGCAAAGGGCGAAAGCGUGACGGAGCAACGCCGCGUGAGUGAUGAAGGUCUUCGGAUCGUAAAACUCUGUUAUUAGGGAAGAACAAAUGUGUAAGUAACUAUGCACGUCUUGACGGUACCUAAUCAGAAAGCCACGGCUAACUACGUG